rnacentral:rRNA from 1 species
AUGAACAUCACCAUGUCGAGUGCCCCUUUAUCAGGUGACACGUGUGACUUCUACUUCAAACAUACAAAGGUGAAUCUUCUCCUGUACACGCGUCUACUUGGGCCCUUUGAGAACGGUAUACUACUUGACCCUCCAUCGUGCACGUAUAUGUCUGAGCGGAGUUUAAUGGACGAGGAGGAGGAGUGCAAGCACAACAGAACAUCUACACCAUCCGCGAAGGAAGUGUGGAAACGAAGAUGGAAGAAGCAUCAAGUGGAGCUGUUACAGAGCUGCAACCACUGGAAAUACGGUGCCACCAGAAGAGGAGCAACCAGAAAGUAG